UUUAUGGAGAGUUUGAUCCUGGCUCAGGAUGAACGCUGGCGGCGUGCCUAAUACAUGCAAGUCGAGCGAACGGACGAGAAGCUUGCUUCUCUGAUGUUAGCGGCGGACGGGUGAGUAACACGUGGAUAACCUACCUAUAAGACUGGGAUAACUUCGGGAAACCGGAGCUAAUACCGGAUAAUAUUUUGAACCGCAUGGUUCAAAAGUGAAAGACGGUCUUGCUGUCACUUAUAGAUGGAUCCGCGCUGCAUUAGCUAGUUGGUAAGGUAACGGCUUACCAAGGCAACGAUGCAUAGCCGACCUGAGAGGGUGAUCGGCCACACUGGAACUGAGACACGGUCCAGACUCCUACGGGAGGCAGCAGUAGGGAAUCUUCCGCAAUGGGCGAAAGCCUGACGGAGCAACGCCGCGUGAGUGAUGAAGGUCUUCGGAUCGUAAAACUCUGUUAUUAGGGAAGAACAUAUGUGUAAGUAACUGUGCACAUCUUGACGGUACCUAAUCAGAAAGCCACGGCUAACUACGUGCCAGCAGCCGCGGUAAUACGUAGGUGGCAAGCGUUAUCCGGAAUUAUUGGGCGUAAAGCGCGCGUAGGCGGUUUUUUAAGUCUGAUGUGAAAGCCCACGGCUCAACCGUGGAGGGUCAUUGGAAACUGGAAAACUUGAGUGCAGAAGAGGAAAGUGGAAUUCCAUGUGUAGCGGUGAAAUGCGCAGAGAUAUGGAGGAACACCAGUGGCGAAGGCGACUUUCUGGUCUGUAACUGACGCUGAUGUGCGAAAGCGUGGGGAUCAAACAGGAUUAGAUACCCUGGUAGUCCACGCCGUAAACGAUGAGUGCUAAGUGUUAGGGGGUUUCCGCCCCUUAGUGCUGCAGCUAACGCAUUAAGCACUCCGCCUGGGGAGUACGACCGCAAGGUUGAAACUCAAAGGAAUUGACGGGGACCCGCACAAGCGGUGGAGCAUGUGGUUUAAUUCGAAGCAACGCGAAGAACCUUACCAAAUCUUGACAUCCUUUGACAACUCUAGAGAUAGAGCCUUCCCCUUCGGGGGACAAAGUGACAGGUGGUGCAUGGUUGUCGUCAGCUCGUGUCGUGAGAUGUUG
rnacentral:rRNA from 1 species